UUAUCACCUGAGGGAAAAGAGUAGUGUGAAGUGAAGGGCUGCUGCCGUUUUGAGGUUCUCCUGACUUUCCAGUUGAUCUGUAGCAAAGUGCAUUCAGAAAAGAGUUGAGCAUCACUGCUGACAGCUCAGCAAAAGCUCCAGAGAGUUUUUACAAGGAUGACAUGGAUGUAGUGGAGAGAGUCCAGUAAAGGACCAUGAAGAUGAUGAAGGAUCUGAAACAUCUCUCUUAUGAGGAAGAAAUCACGCUGCACAGCGCUUCCAAGUAUGAACAAAUCUAAAUGAAGACAGCUGGCAGAGGCUCUCGUCAUCUAACUCCUUCCAGAUGUGUACUUGUAUGCCGCAGUUCCUGACUGGUGACACCUCCGAUGGAAUCCUUGGGGACAUGGCGGUG